rnacentral:ncRNA from 1 species
AUUCUGGUUGAUCCUACCAGUGAUAUACGCUCGUCUCAAAGGUUAAGCCAUGCAUGUCUAAGUACAAGCUUCCUAGAAAGUGAAACCGCAUAAGGCUCAGUAUAACAGCUAUAAUUUACAAGAUCCUCAUCCAAACAGUUACUUGGAUAACUGUGGAAAAGCCAGAGCUAAUACAUGCAUUAUGCCGGGACUGUUGGCCUCCGGGUCGGCGGAACUGGUGCACUUAUUAGUUAAACCAAUCGCCUCCGGGCGCUUUGAGUUGAAAUCUGGAUAAGGAUGCCGAUCGUACGGUCGCUUGCGACUGACGACAGAUCUUUCAAAUGUCUGCCCUAUCAACUAUUGAUGGUAGUGUAGAGGACUACCAUGGUUGCGACGGGUAACGGGGAAUCAGGGUUCGAUUCCGGAGAGGGAGCCUGAGAAAUGGCUACCACAUCCAAGGAAGGCAGCAGGCGCGUAAAUUACCCAAUCCCGGCACGGGGAGGUAGUGACGAGAAAUAACAAUAUGGACCUCUCUAACGAUGGUCCAUAAUUGGAAAUGAGUUGAGCAUAAAUCCUUUUGCAAGGAUCAAGUGGAGGGCAAGUCUGGUGCCAGCAGCCGCGGUAAUUCCAGCUCCACUAGCGUAUAUUAAAGUUGUUGCGGUUAAAACGUUCGAAGUUGAUACCCCGUCCAGACUCGCGUCCGUCGCGGGCGCCCGGCCUCUCGGUUGGGACCGUCCGUGUACGCGCUCGCGGCUGCGACUCACAAUGGUGUACCUGGGCGUUCUACUCCGUGACGGGUCAGGACUUG